CCCCUGUAAAACCGCAUUUGCGGUUUCAUUCGGCAUGUACUGGCAGAGCGCUAGCCAUUUAUGGAAACUUUCCCCCGAAUUUCGUUUUGCUGCUUGUGCGUCCAUGCAAAUGAUACCACAAACAUACACAUGCCUACCCAACCAACCACUGGUGGCAUAAUUCUGUUCAAAUCUAACAUUGCCUUUCUCUGUGUCUUAAUGGCAAUUUCAUUGCACAUGUUUUGAUGAGAAUAAAAUAUAUCACUCCUCUGGAGCCA